AUGGGUCACGGCCAUGGUCGCUGCCUGAGCACGAGCUCCGGCCGGCCGCCGCACCUGGCUGCGCCAUCCGCCGUCCCGGCGGUGGGUGGCGGCGGCGGUGGCAGGGCAGUGGGUGCUGGCGGCGCCUCGUCCCAGCUGAGGCAGCUCUCUUUUUUGAGUCGCUCGACUCGUAUGUGUCGACUAGUCCAUCCACAGCUCGACUCCUAUUUGUAG
rnacentral:rRNA from 1 species